GGAGUUAGCCGGUGCUUCUUCUGCGAGUAACGUCACAGAUGUAAGGUAUUAACUUACACCCUUUCCUCCUCGCUGAAAGUGCUUUACAACCCGAAGGCCUUCUUCACACACGCGGCAUGGCUGCAUCAGGGUUUCCCCCAUUGUGCAAUAUUCCCCACUGCUGCCUCCCGUAGGAGUCUGGGCCGUGUCUCAGUCCCAGUGUGGCUGAUCAUCCUCUCAGACCAGCUAGGGAUCGUCGCCUAGGUGAGCCUUUACCUCACCUACUAGCUAAUCCCACCUGGGCUUAUCCAUCAGCGCAAGGCCCGAAGGUCCCCUGCUUUCCCCCGUAGGGCGUAUGCGGUAUUAGCAGUCGUUUCCAACUGUUAUCCCCCACAAUGGGCAAAUUCCCAGGCAUUACUCACCCGUCCGCCGCUCGUCAUCUUCAAAGCAAGCUUUUGAAUGUUACCGCUCGACUUGCAUGUGUUAGGCCUGCCGCAGCGUUCAAUCUGAACCAGAUCAAAUUCUGA
rnacentral:rRNA from 1 species